GAAGAGAGAGAAACUGUCUUGGAGAAACCUGCAGAAUCAGAAUUUUGCAUGAUUCGUUGAGUUUAUGUUUUCCUUGUUUCCUUGCCUCCCUUGUAUGUGGCCAGAUCUUGAUAAUUAAGCCCUUUCUUCCAACAUGGAACCCUGGACUUGGGAUGAACUAUCUCUCUCUCUAUCUCUCUCUCUCUCUCUCUCUCUCUCUCUCUCUCUCUCUCUCUCUCUCUCUCUCUCUCUCCAUGCUGUUCCCUCUCUCUCUGCUGAAGCUUGAAGACAAAUUCUUCCAGUUCUAUUUGGGGGACUGAGCUAUUUAAUGCACCACUGUGGGUCUUUCUACUUCCCGCCCAUGCCUACAAUAUAUCUACCACACAGAGCUGUAUAUUUUAACGAACGCUCGUUAUUAUUGGAUCUCUGACCCGAUUUCAUUGCUAUAUUCUGAAGCAGAAAACACGCCAGUGGCAUGGAAUUAGCAACACAUUCUGCCAGUGUGUUAAUUGUGCGAGAGCUGUUGGCAGGAGAAUCUCCUAGCACAACACAUCAUUUAUUUUUUAUUUAAAUUUGGUAGCAAUGUUAUAUUGUGUUCAAGGAGAGGUGCCAUGACAUAAAUCACUUGAGAUUUACUGUACAUUCGGGGGGUGGGGGGGAGAAAGAAAGAAAACCUCUGCUUCAUGCAGCCGUGCAGAAGAAAUUAUGUAAUUUUUUUUUUCACUUAGCAGGCAAGCUGCUCGAGCUAAUUCCUAAUUUUUUAUAAAAAGUUGGCAUUUCCCAGCAGUGGUUUGGGACAUCCUCGGGCCCCAACACGGUAUCUGAACGCAGUGGUAGCUGCACAGUAGCAAAUCCCUUACUUUGAUACCAGCAAAUACACAUAAAAAGCAUAAAAAUCAGCCAGGCGUGGUGGCGCACACCUUUAAUCCCAGCACUUGGGAGGCAGAGGCAGUCGGAUUUCUGAGUUCGAGGCCAGCCUGAUCUACAGAGUGAGUUCCAGGACAGCCAGGGCUACACAGAGAAACCCUGUCUAGAAAAAAAAAAAGGCAUAAAAAUCAAAAUCUUCCAGGCCAGAGAGACUAGUUUUCUCUGAUAGCUAGCCCUUCUAUAUACCCCCAAAGACCUGAGGUGACAUUCUAUAAAUCCUGCUAACUCUAUAAAUGUAUGAAUGGAUGGGGGAGUCCCAAAAAGGGGGGAUGGAUCCACACAGAGGCCCUACAGAAGAAGAUGGCUUUCCAUCCUUCCCUUAGGAGUAGGGGCCACCUUUAAACGAGGAGAAAGGUAAUAUACAUUUACCAUCAUGUUUUACUCAGUCCUUGUCUGCCAGCUUACUGUGCCAGCUGAUAUAUGUCAGCUUGUUCAGACCCUAGCCAUAUCCUGGAUGUAUAAUUCUAUAUUCACCCCCCCAACAUGACAUCAUCAACUCUCUUGCCCUUUCCCUUCUGCUCCUGGCUUCUGAGCUGCCUCCUCUCCCCAUUGUCCUGUCCUUGUUCUCAGGCAUCACUAACCCACUAACCUCCUGCUUGAUAUCUACCCUCGUUGGCUGCUAACUGUCCUCUGCUUUCCACUGUACAGCUAGUUCAGCCCAGAAGUUUGAAGCAGAAUAGGCAAGGGCUGUCCCCUCAGGUGCCACCAACUUGGUAAUGAGUCUUUCUCUAGA
rnacentral:lncRNA from 1 species